rfam:Colletotrichum orbiculare MAFF 240422 contig08748, whole genome shotgun sequence.
ACAUACGACCAUACCCAUUGGAAAACUCGGGAUCCCGUCCGCUCUCCCAUAGAUAAGCCAAUGAGGGCCGGAUUAGUAGUUGGGUCGGUGACGACCAGCGAAUACCUGGUGUGAUGGAUUUG